rnacentral:rRNA from 1 species
CGUAGAGUUUGAUCUGGCUCAGGAUGAACGCUAGCUACAGCUUAACACAUGCAAGUCGAGGGGAACGAUGAGAGAGCUUGCUCUCUUAGGCGUCGACCGGCGCACGGAUGAGUAACGCGUAUCCAACCUACCCAUUACAGGGGGAUAACCUUGCGAAAGUAAGACUAAUACCCCAUGGUAUUUAUGAUGGCAUCAUUAUAGGAUUAAAGAUUUAUUGGUAAUGGAUGGGGAUGCGUCUGAUUAGCUUGUUGGCGGGGUAACGGCCCACCAAGGCAACGAUCAGUAGGGGUUCUGAGAGGAAGGUCCCCCACAUUGGAACUGAGACACGGUCCAAACUCCUACGGGAGGCAGCAAUGAGGAAUAUUGGUCAAUGGGCGAGAGCCUGAACCAACCAAGUAGCGUGCAGGAUGACGGCCCUAUGGGUUGUAAACUGCUUUUAUAGGGGAAUAAAGUGAGCUACGUGUAGUUUAUUGCAUGUACCCUAUGAAUAAGGACCGGCUAAUUCCGUG